rnacentral:rRNA from 1 species
CGAGCGAGCUUGCCUAGAUGAAUUUGGUGCUUGCACCAAAUGAAACUAGAUACAAGCGAGCGGCGGACGGGUGAGUAACACGUGGGUAACCUGCCCAAGAGACUGGGAUAACACCUGGAAACAGAUGCUAAUACCGGAUAACAACACUAGACGCAUGUCUAGAGUUUAAAAGAUGGUUCUGCUAUCACUCUUGGAUGGACCUGCGGUGCAUUAGCUAGUUGGUAAGGUAACGGCUUACCAAGGCAAUGAUGCAUAGCCGAGUUGAGAGACUGAUCGGCCACAUUGGGACUGAGACACGGCCCAAACUCCUACGGGAGGCAGCAGUAGGGAAUCUUCCACAAUGGACGCAAGUCUGAUGGAGCAACGCCGCGUGAGUGAAGAAGGGUUUCGGCUCGUAAAGCUCUGUUGGUAGUGAAGAAAGAUAGAGGUAGUAACUGGCCUUUAUUUGACGGUAAUUACUUAGAAAGUCACGGCUAACUACGUGCCAGCAGCCGCGGUAAUACGUAGGUGGCAAGCGUUGUCCGGAUUUAUUGGGCGUAAAGCGAGUGCAGGCGGUUCAAUAAGUCUGAUGUGAAAGCCUUCGGCUCAACCGGAGAAUUGCAUCAGAAACUGUUGAACUUGAGUGCAGAAGAGGAGAGUGGAACUCCAUGUGUAGCGGUGGAAUGCGUAGAUAUAUGGAAGAACACCAGUGGCGAAGGCGGCUCUCUGGUCUGCAACUGACGCUGAGGCUCGAAAGCAUGGGGUAGCGAACAGG